rnacentral:rRNA from 1 species
CCUACGGGUGGCAGCAGUGAGGAAUAUUGGUCAAUGGACGAGAGUCUGAACCAGCCAAGUAGCGUGAAGGAUGAAUGCCCUAUGGGUUGUAAACUUCUUUUAUAAAGGAAUAAAACGAGGCACGUGUGCCUUUUUGCAUGUACUUUAUGAAUAAGGAUCGGCUAACUCCGUGCCAGCAGCCGCGGUAAUACGGAGGAUCCGAGCGUUAUCCGGAUUUAUUGGGUUUAAAGGGAGCGUAGAUGGGUUGUUAAGUCAGUUGUAAAAGUUUGCGGCUCAACCGUAAAAUUGCAAUUGAUACUGGCAGUCUUGAGUACAGUUGAGGUAGGCGGAAUUCGUGGUGUAGCGGUGAAAUGCUUAGAUAUCACGAAGAACCCCGAUUGCGAAGGCAGCUUACUAACCUGUGACUGACAUUGAUGCUCGAAAGUGUGGGUAUCAAACAGGAUUAGAUACCCGGGUAGUC